UUGAUAUGUGUCAUUCUCUCA
rnacentral:siRNA from 1 species